rnacentral:rRNA from 1 species
AUUGAACGCUGGCGGCAGGCCUAACACAUGCAAGUCGAGCGGUAACAGGGGUAGCUUGCUACCCGCUGACGAGCGGCGGACGGGUGAGUAAUGCAUAGGAAUCUGCCCGAUAGUGGGGGAUAACCUGGGGAAACCCAGGCUAAUACCGCAUACGUCCUACGGGAGAAAGGGGGCUCCGGCUCCCGCUAUCGGAUGAGCCUAUGUCGGAUUAGCUGGUUGGUGAGGUAACGGCUCACCAAGGCGACGAUCCGUCGCUGGUCUGAGAGGAUGAUCAGCCACAUCGGGACUGAGACACGGCCCGAACUCCUACGGGAGGCAGCAGUGGGGAAUAUUGGACAAUGGGGGGAACCCUGAUCCAGCCAUGCCGCGUGUGUGAAGAAGGCCCUCGGGUUGUAAAGCACUUUCAGUGAGGAAGAACGCCUGGUGGUUAAUACCCAUCAGGAAAGACAUGGCUCACAGAAGAAGCACCGGCUAACUCCGUGCCAGCAGCCGCGGUAAUACGGAGGGUGCGAGCGUUAAUCGGAAUUACUGGGCGUAAAGCGCGCGUAGGUGGCUUGAUAAGCCGGUUGUGAAAGCCCCGGGCUCAACCUGGGAACGGCAUCCGGAACUGUCAAGCUAGAGUGCAGGAGAGGAAGGUAGAAUUCCCGGUGUAGCGGUGAAAUGCGUAGAGAUCGGGAGGAAUACCAGUGGCGAAGGCGGCCUUCUGGACUGACACUGACACUGAGGUGCGAAAGCGUGGGUAGCAAACAGG